rnacentral:rRNA from 1 species
UGAGUUUGAUGAUGGCUCUGAAUGAACGCUGUCCAAAUGCUUGACACAUGCUAAUCGUACGUCUAAUUUAAUAAAAUAUUAUUUGUAUUUAUAUAAAUAAUAUUAAAUUUCAUUAGAAGUGGUGUACAGGUGAGUAAAUAAUAUUUUGGCUGCCUUAAAGUAAGGUAUAAAAUCCCUUAUAAAAAGAAAGGAAGACAUCUUCCGCUUUAAGAUGACAAUAAAUAUUUCGGAUAGGUAGUAGUUAAGGUAAUGGCUUAACUAGCUUAAGAUUCCGUAAUCGAGGCUGAGAGGUCGAUCGAUCACAUUGGGUCUGAAAAAACCCCAAUACGUUUAGUACAGCAGUGGGGAAUAUUGGUCAAUAGCCUAACGGCUGAACCAGCAAUUUGGGAGAAUGAAUAGCUUCGGCUAACUACAUUAGUUUUAAUUUUUGAAAAAAGAUUAUUAAAAUGUUAAUUAAAUUAAUUUAAUUAAUAUUGCUAAUGUUUUAGUGACUACGUCACAUAAAGUUCUAGAUAGAAUACUGAUUAUGACAAUUUACUAUCUAUGUGUCUUGACCAAAUUACGUGCCAGCAGUCGCGGUAAUACGUAGAAGACUAGUGUUAUUCAUCUUUAUUAGGUUUAAAGGGUACCUAGACGGUUUAACUAGUCCAAAAUAGGAUACGGUUUUACUAGAGUUAUAUAUAAGAAGGUGAGUAUUUGUGGAGUAGAGUUGAAAUUCUUUGAUACCAUGAGGACUGGUAACGGCGAAAGCAACCUUUUAUCUAAUAACUGACGUUGAGGGACGAAGGCUCGGGUCGCGAACAGGAUUAGAUACCCUAGUAGUCCAAGCAGAGAAUUAUGAAUGCCAUAGAUUAGAUAUUAUUUAGUUUAUAAAUGAAAGUGUAAGCAUUCCACCUCAAGAGUAAUGUGGCAACGCAGGAACUGAAAUCAUUAGACCGUUUCUGAAACCAGUAGUGAAGUAUGUUAUUUAAUUCGUAAGUACACGAAAAACCUUACCACAAUUUGAAUAUUAUCUAGGUGAAACAAAAAUUUUAUCUAGAUAUUACAAGUGUUGCAUGGCCGUCUUCAGUUAAUGUCGUGAGAUAUUGGUUAAUUCCAUUAAAUUAACGGAAACCCUUGCUUUAUUUAUGUAUCGCUAUGUUUUAAUACAGAGCGACCUUACUUUACAGUUAGGAGAAAAUAAAGCAGUUCGCCAUUACAUUGGUUAUGAUAACAGGGAUAAAGACAGGUCAUCAUGGCCUAAAUAUUGUGGGCUAUAGACGUGCCACAUUUUCCUAUACAAAGAGAUGCGAAAAUGUGAAUUUAAGCUAACCUCAAAAAGUAGGAUAUAAUAUGGAUUGUAGUCUGAAAUUCGACUACAUGAAAAAGGAAUUACUAGUAAUCGUGAAUCACCACGUCACGGUGAAUCUCAUCUCAGAUAGGUACUAACUACUCGUCAGGCGCUGAAAGAAGUAUGUGCAAUAAGUUUGGCUAACUGUCUUUCUUUAAUUUAGAUAAAUAGAUCUAGAUAUUUAGAUGGAAGGUCUUCGUAUGCGUGACUUUGAUUGGUGUUAAGUCGAAAUACGGUUCGUGUAGUGGAAAUUGCACGGG